rnacentral:rRNA from 1 species
UACAGAGACUGCGAGCGUUAUUCGGAUUCACUGGGCGUAAAGGGUGCGCAGGCGGCCAAGUGUGUGAGGCGUGAAAGCCCGGGGCUUAACCCCGGAAUUGCACCUCAAACUACAUGGCUAGAGCAUUGGAGAGGGUAGCGGAAUUCACGGUGUAGCAGUGAAAUGCGUAGAUAUCGUGAGGAACACCAGAGGCGAAGGCGGCUACCUGGACAAUUGCUGACGCUCAGGCAACGAAAGCGUGGGGAGCAAAAGGG